rnacentral:rRNA from 1 species
UACGAAGGGGGCUAGCGUUGCUCGGAAUCACUGGGCGUAAAGGGCGCGUAGGUGGCGGGACAAGCGUGCGGUGAAAGCCUGGGGCUCAACCCCCGGGUCGGCCGUGCGAACUGUUUUGCUUGAGCACUGUAGAGGCAGGCGGAAUUCCGGGUGUAGCGGUGGAAUGCGUAGAGAGUCCGGAAGAACACCGGUGGCGAAGGCGGCCUGCUGGGCAGUAGCUGACACUGAGGCGCGACAGCGUGGGGAGCAAACAGG